UACGGGGGGGGUAAGCGUUGUUCGGAAUUACUGGGCGUAAAGGGCUCGUAGGCGGCCAACUAAGUCAUACGUGAAAUCCCUCAGCUUAACUGGGGAACUGCGUGUGAUACUGGAUGGCUUGGAUUUGGGAGAGGGAUGCGGAAUUCCAGGUGUAGCGGUGAAAUGCGUAGAUAUCUGGAGGAACACCGGUGGCGAAGGCGGCAUCCUGGACCAAUAUUGACGCUGAGGAGCGAAAGCCAGGGGGAGCAAACGGG
rnacentral:rRNA from 1 species